rnacentral:rRNA from 1 species
AAUCAACGCUGGCGGCGUGCCUCAGACAUGCAAGUCGAACGAUUAAAGCUCUCUUCGGAGAGUGCAUAAAGUGGCGCACGGGUGAGUAACACGUAAGUAAUCUACCUUCGAGUGGGAAGUAACGUCCGGAACGGACGCUAAUACGCAUAACGCAGCGGCAUCGCAAGAUGACAGUUGUUAAAGAUUUAUCGCUUGAAGAGGAGCUUGCGGCAGAUUAGCUUGUUGGUAAGGUAACGGCUUACCAAGGCUACGAUCUGUAUCCGGUCUAAGAGGACGGUCGGGACACACUGACACUGAACUAACGGGUC